CCUUCACUGCCCCGGCCCAGGCCGGUGCCCCAGGUGGGGCUGGGGUUCUACUCCACGUCCACACGGAAACGGCUCUAUGAAGAGGACGCCACAGGACCCACCAGAGAAGGAGAAGGCCUGCUGGCCAAGCCGUCCUGCCAGUGACCCAGAGACGGGGGACACGGACUCCACGCUGGCUCCCGGCAGCGCCCCGGGGACCGUGCCUGCCCACGCGUGGAUCCCGACUGCGGUGUCAGAAAGGACCCCACACCCUGGCCACGUGUAAGGAGAGCACCCCUGACAAAGCCGCCUACUUCCUAGGCUCAGGGCACUUGCUAAGACCCCGUGGCGUCGCCUGAGCCACCCGGGAGCUGCAGGGACUGGUGAGCGGGCCCCCGCCGGCGGCACGAGGGCGACCCAGAGGUGCCCACGCCCCUCACCUCACUCUCAUGAACGGGUUGUAGGUGAACUCCUCCGCGAUGGUGGACGGCACUGUGGGCUCCCCGAUACCAUACUUCUCCUGCAGAGGACAGAGGUCACGUGAAAACGGAAACAUCUAAAGGAACAUUUCAGAGUACUUUGUAAUCUUAAAAUAUCAUCCAACUCGGAAGGCAAAGUGAACGGGGUCAGGUCAGUGCAAGGACGGGCCACUUCCCUCUGUGGAGACGCGAGUGUCCCGGCCACCACCGACAAGUUGUCCCUUCUCCCCUUGCUGUCCUGGAAGUGGAGGGGGACGCGAAAACUUUUACGCUGAUAUGAAGUGUGUGUUUUACAUGAUAAAAUAACCAGC